UACGUAGGGUGCAGGCGUUAAUCGGAAUUACUGGGCGUAAAGCGUGCGCAGGCGGUCUUUUAAGUCAGAUGUGAAAUCCCCGGGCUUAACCUGGGAACUGCGUUUGAAACUGGAAGGCUUGAGUGUGGCAGAGGGGGGUGGAAUUCCACGUGUAGCAGUGAAAUGCGUAGAGAUGUGGAGGAACACCGAUGGCGAAGGCAGCCCCCUGGGCUGACACUGACGCUCAUGCACGAAAGCGUGGGGAGCAAACAGG
rnacentral:rRNA from 1 species